CAUCUUGAGACUGAUUUUUGUGGACCAGGUUCUCUCACAUUUUGUUUUGUUUUUUCCCCCCUCCAGGAUUAUCACUGGGGCUCGGUGCCUGUACUACUAUGAAUCCACUGCUCCUGAAGGCUAUUUUUUCCUAUUUUGUUGCCCUUGUUGUCGUUGUCAUUGUUGUUAUAGCUAUUGUUGUUGGAUAGGACAAACAGAAAUCGAGAGAGGAGGGGAAGACAGAGAGGGGGAGAGAAAGAUAGACACCUGCAAACCUGCUUCACUGCCCAGGAAGCAACACACCUCCCGCAGGUGGGGAGCCAGGGGCUCAAACAAGGAUCUUUAUGUGGGUCCUUGUGCUUUGUGCCAUGUGUGCUUAACCUGCUGCACUAUUGCUCAGCCCCCCUCAUGUUUUUUUUUUUUUUUUUCAAAAUCAAGCAGAUGCAAGUUUUAAAAAUUAAAUCAAGAUCAAUGGGACCUAGACACCAGGAUCAUCUGAGUGUUACAAUUACUUUUAUGCAAAUGCUUUUGCAGAGUUGACCAAACCUGAGGACAGGGGGCUAGGGUUUCUUUAAUUCCUAUUCCUUACCUUCUUCAAGCUUCCUUACAGCUGUCCCAUGUCACCCAACUCAGGAGCAGCUGGAGUACUUGGUAGGCUGAGGGGACAGAUGUACCUGACUGCCAAAUAGCUGUCACAUCCACCCUUGGAACUGAACUUUGCUAGCCUGUCAUUCCUGGUGACACUGUACAUGCACCAGCUUUACUGGCAAGCUUGUGCUUGUUCUGAGUUGGAAUUUGGUGAGACUCAGUUGGCCUCCAGAAUCCAGGACUUGUGAUUGGAAAUGGAUCUGUUGCCAUCCAUCAAAGAAGCAGAAAAAUCUGGAGUAGAAUAAAGGAAAGCCACUGUGUAACAAGGGAAGGAUGAAACUAGAGGCUAAGAGAAAUAAAAUGUUGCAGGGUGGGGGCUGCAGGAGCCACUCCCUGAUCCUGCUUACCUGGU